GAUGAACGCUAGCGACAGGCUUAACACAUGCAAGUCGGAGGGGCAGCAAUAAAAGUAGCAAUUACGUUUGGUGGCGACCGGCGCGACGGGUGAGUAACGCGUAUGACCAACCUACCUAUCAGGAAGGGAACUAACCCGGCGAAAGUCGGACUAAUACCGCAUAAAACAGGGGCACCGCAUGGUGAUAUUUGUUAAAGAAAUUCGCUGAUAGAUGGGCAUGCGUUCCAUUAGGUAGUUGGUGAGGUAACGGCUCACCAAGCCGACGAUGGAUAGGGGAACUGAGAGGUUGGUCCCCCACACUGGUACUGAGACACGGACCAGACUCCUACGGGAGGCAGCAGUGAGGAAUAUUGGUCAAUGGGCGGGAGCCUGAACCAGCCAAGUCGCGUGAAGGAAGAAGGAUCUAUGGUUCGUAAACUUCUUUUGCAGGGGAAUAAAGUGCGGGACGUGUCCUGUUUUGUAUGUACCCUGAGAAUAAGGAUCGGCUAACUCCGUG
rnacentral:rRNA from 1 species